UUGGACAACCCAGGGUUGCUGAGGAAAAGCCCCUGAACAGGCCCCUGACUGCAGGCAGCCCUGAGAGUCCUUGGCAAGGUAUACAGCUGCCUGGCUCCCCCCCUCAUUAGAGGCCAUCUAGAGGGCCUGGGCGUGAAUCUUUGCAAAAGUAGAUGUAAGUUGGCAUAGUUGAACAAUAAGGGGAGAAUGAUGCUUAAUCGUAUCUGUGUACAUGUCAUUUAUGUGGCCAGCUCUCCGGACUCGGUCCCUAACACCUGUCCUCCUCCUGUCCCCCUGUGCCCCUUUUGUUGGACAAGUCUCAAAUGGCAACGCACAUUCCCAAAGACUAUCUGCUUCCUUAAAUCCAUGGACCAGCUAGUGCUGUCACUCAACAGCUGAAAUGAGCUUUCAGAGCCUAGAAACUAGCAGGAGUGACAAACAAAUCGAUUUGAAUCUGGAAAUAGGUGAGUUCCACCCACCCACUGCUGCUGAUGCAGAGACUGGGGCUCAGGGCAUCUGCGCAGCCCUUCCCUUUGGCACUGAUCCUGCACUGGAAUGUUGUGUUGUUGCCAAACCGGGCCUCAAACCAGGAGAAGGUAAGCCCUGACCAUUUGCCCCUGACCCACCCACAGUGUGUUAUCUGGAGCGUGUGCCUCAGCUGGUGUCACUUGAGUUUCACCAGAGUUGCAAGUUGGCUCCUGCUCUGGGCGAUUCCGAGUGACCAUCACAUCAGUUCUGCACUAAGCACCGUUUAGCCAGAUCCAGAGAUCUGGCCACAUAGUGACUUCUGAACAGAAAAUCAAAAUGCAGGAAAAGUGCCAGGACCACUGACGGGCCUGGGUACAGCACGGUCUUUGUGGGUCACUGUCACUCCAGGCCCUUACAGUCUCUCCUCAUCUUUCUUGUAGGCUCCCUUCAGGUGCAGGAGCCAUUGCUCACUGGUGUUUUUGACUAUUCUCUGCCAAGGAAAUGAGUUGAAUUUCCUUGUCAAAUCUAAUAGGCUUUUAUACUUGGGCUUCUCUGCUGUGGGAUUCAUACUUAGAGACUGGUGUUGGUGUCUGGACGCUUCCAGAAGGUGGAUGUUAUCCCUGGAUGUAUAAAGAAAACGCCUAUCCAUCAUCUCUCAGGCAAUGAGAGCGGUGCAGGUGUCUGGCAUGGCAGCCUUUCCACCAGUUCACUGGUUGAGCUGGUGCCAAGCGAGGCCGUAUGGAGCUGAUGACUUCCUGCCUGUGUUGACAUAGGCCCUAGCCCAGUGUGAUGAACUGGAGACUGAAAUCGAAUACAUGACAGAGUGGCUGGAUCCAUCCUUGGUGUAUGGAGAAGCUAAAGGCUGAGAGGGGACACUGUCAGUAAUACAGAAAAUACUACCCUGUGUACAGAACGCAUCUCUGAACGCCUCUGAACAGACUGUGCUGCCUCUUAGCUGGACACUCCCACCCAAAUGGCUGACUUGGAAAAGAUAAGACAGACAGUGGGUCUCCUGUUGCUGCGGACCGUUACCUCCCGUCGAGACUCUUUUACUUUGUGACCUGCAGCUUCUUUUGUACAUUGCAACUCUGUUGUGGCUUUAGUUUGUUCUCUGUUUGUGUAAUAAAGGUGGAGUAUGCAGGACUGU